UUAGGUCCAAUAAUAACAGUUCUCCUUUACAAAAGUAAGUUUUAUUGAAUUAUACAUUACGUUAGUAUUGUUUAAUAAGAACUAUUUUAGGGAAUCUGCUUUAGAGACAGAUGAAUCGUUUUGUACCCCGAAAUACUAUAUGAAUUUGGCAAAAACGAUCGCCAACAAAAGUAGCGAUCCACACUGUAAGGUCGGUGCUUGCAUUGUCAACACUAAAGGAGAAGUUGUAAGCGUCGGUUAUAACAGGUUCCCAGAUGAUUGCGAUUCCAAAUUUACCUGGAGUAAAGGCAAUAGAAAUCCACUUGACAAUAAACAUUACUAUGUGUGUCAUGCGGAGAUGGAUGCAAUCAUAAAAAAUAUAAAAUCUAAAAAUGAUCUGACUGAUUGCUCUAUAUAUGUGACACGAUAUCCUUGUAAUGAAUGUGCAAAAUUAAUAAUACAAUCUGGAAUUAAACAUGUAACGUAUGGAUUUAGAAAGUAUGACGAAAACAAACGAGGCAAGCAUCUGGAAGAAAUAGCAUCAGAAAUGAUGUUUGAAGCAACAGGAGUAAAAGUAGAAAAAUUCUAAACAUUAAAUUAGGGGAAGUACUAAUCAUCCAAUACUAUAAUUCCAUGGAAAAAUUUUAAAUAAAGUAUUGUGUAUGUUAAAAAAUAAAAUAUAGUCCCCUCAAUAA